UCCCCUGUAGCUCAAUUGGCAGAGCAGAUUCCUGUUAAGAAUAAGGUUCGUGGUUCGAGUCCACGCGGGGGAG
rnacentral:tRNA from 1 species